rnacentral:tRNA from 1 species
UGAUAAGGACGGGGCUCAACCCGCCUAUGCAGGGCUACAACCUGCCGCUUCACUCAGCCACCUUACC